GCCGGAAUGGCGGAACAGGAAGACGCAAGGGACUUAAAAUCCCUCGGGCUUUGCGGCCCGUGCCGGUUCGAUUCCGGCUUCCGGCA
rnacentral:tRNA from 1 species